rnacentral:lncRNA from 1 species
GAAUGAUAUGCAAACAGGAUACUACUCACCUGAAAUGGAUGAGGAAAGAAAAACCCUGUAAUCUACUGCAGAUAGCUGAAUUGGGCUGAUACAUGUGCUUUCUGAAAGAAUACCUCUUUUGGCUCCACAAGAAGCAAACAGCUCACUCGAAAGUUCUAGAGCAUUAUACAACGCCUUGAUUUGGGGGAGCCUUGAAGAAACCUUUGCUGGCAAUAGCAAUGACAAUUCAGGGAUUAAUGGUGGAGCUUGUUAGAGGUGGUAACUUCAAA